CUAUAACUCAGAGGUAGAGUAUCUGACUUUUAAUCAGAGAGUCGAGAGUUCAAAUCUCUCUAGAUGC
rnacentral:tRNA from 1 species